rnacentral:rRNA from 1 species
GACGAACGCUGGCGGCGUGCUUAACACAUGCAAGUCGAACGGAAAGGCCUGCUUUCCCUUGUGGAUUGCGGGUACUCGAGUGGCGAACGGGUGAGUAACACGUGAGUGAUCUGCCCCCAACUUGGGUAUAAGCCUGGGAAACUGGGUCUAAUUCCCGAUAGGACCGCAGGGUGGUGCCUGUGGUGGCAAACGAUUUUCUAGUGGUUGGGGAUGAGCCCGCGGCCUAUCAGCUUGGUGGUGGGGUAAUGGCCUACCAAGGCGGCGACGGGUAGCCGGCCUGAGAGGGGGGACAGCGGCAUUGAGACUGGGAUACGGCCCAGACUGCUACGAGAAGAAGCAGUGGGGCAUAUUGCAGAAUGGGCGGAAGCCUGCAGCAGCGACGCCGAGAGGGGGAUGACGGCCUUCGGAUUGUAGACUCCUUUCGACCGCGAGGAAGCCACCUGGUUGGAAGGGUGGUGACGGUAGUGGUAGAAGAAGCACCGGCUAACUACGUG